CUCUCUCCCUCUUCACUCAUUUCUUUGGGUCUCCCAAUAGUCCUAGUAGACAGCUCCAAAUUCCCUAACUUCCGCGUUCAUACCAAAAUUUCACAAAAUCUUCCAUAUUUUGAUUCUCAUGUACACAAAAUCUUAAUUCUUCUCAAUCCUCUUUUUUAAUUCAAUAAUAAUUGUUUUUUCUUUUUGUUUCUCGGUGGCCAUGGCGCUAAGAUCCGACGAUAGAAAAUUGUCUUUCGAGAUUCUGAGCAAAAACAUGUCUUUCGAAUAAGACGAAUCCUUAUACUUCUACCGCUCAAACUUAGAUCCAAUCCAAAACGGCGUCGUUGUCCAAUCCAAGCCCAAGCCCAAGCCCAAUCCCAUUCGCAAGAAAUGGAAACACAAGCGAAAGAAACCGAUCCACUCCAAGUCCUCCAUUUGCGAAGAUCCGAUCGCCGAAGCAACACUCGAUCCCGAUAAGGUGACAAUCUUGUUGAAGAGGCUCCUGCUGAUAUACCAUCUCUAUUGGAGUUGAAGCGGAUUUACUAUGAACUAAUGAUAAGGUUGAUUUGCUGAAGAAUAAAUUCAAGUUUGACGAGGCUUUCAACUAUAAAGAAGAGUCUGACUUGGACGCCACUUUAAAGAGGUGAAGACUCCAAAUCCAAAGAAGUACUGUGUGAGACCCAAUACUGAAAUUGUGAUGCCCAGGUCUUCCUGUGAUGUUAUAGUUACAAUGCAAGCUCAAAAGGAGGUACCGCCGGAUAUGCAAUGCAAGGACAAGUUCUUGCUCUAAAGCGUGGUGGUAAGUCCUGGAGCUGUUGCAAAAGAUAUAACCCCAGAAAUGGUACUAAUAUAAAAAAUGAUACAAUCUCUUAUGUGGGUUUUUUCUUUGUUGGUUGCUGUAGUAGUUUAAAGUGGGAAAAUAUAUAGAUUAAGGAAAUGGUAUUUUUUGUUGUUGCCUUUUAGUUUAAUAAGGAGUCAGGGCAUCAUGUUGAGGAGAGCAAAAGGUGAGUCUACUUUUUUUUUUUUUUUUUUUUGAGAAUCAAGAUGUGUCUACUUUAUGGGAUGCCAACUUGGAAAUUUGUACUUUCUGCUUGAUCAAAAAAGCUAAAAGUUAGUACAAUUGUGAUAUUUCUAAAAUAUAUUGCUUUCUCAUACUGUGGCAUUAUGAGAAAGUUAGUAGAUCCUAAAGGCUAAAAGUUAGUAGAUCCUAGAUAAGUCUUGCGUUUUAUGUACCGUGGCACUAAUACUGUAAUAACAUGUAUUUUUAGAUUAGUUUACAUGAUUCAUUUUUAUGCAAGGGACCCAUUUUCGAUAUUGCAUGGAUCGGUUCAUAAGAUCUAUGAGAAUGAUUUAUGAUUUUUUU